rnacentral:lncRNA from 1 species
UUGGUAAUGAGUCUUGGAGUGGAGUGACCAAGCCCCGAGCUCCUGCGGCGGCGCAGCAGCCCGGAGCUAGGACCCUUGAUCGGGCCCGCCCCGCUUGGCCGGCUCCAGCCGGCUCCGGCGGGGUGUCCAGCGGGGCCCUGCCCCAGCAGCCUGGCUUACAUCGAAAUCUAGCCCGUAAGUUUUGGUCUUGAGACUUUGCUCCCCGGCUUCUUGGAAGGGAGCCCACCUCUGACUGGGACGUUUAAGGACUCCUUAGGUUUGUACUUUAAGUGAGUUUUGCAGUGCUUCGCUUGAAAUUACGUGAUUUCGAAGGCUCCCAGAAGCUCAAGACGUAAGUUCCUGACAAAAGACCCGCUUGCCCAUAAGGCGUUCUUGCUGGGAAACUGUGGUGAUCGGAAAACUGCUGUCCAUUCAGAGCCUUCAGCUCGGAAAUGACUAGCUGAUGCGUGGUUUGGAUGAGUGGGUCUUAACCAACGCCACUCCUCCAUGAAAGGGUUACAGUGCAUGUGCACAGAAAACCACUGGAGCAACUUCGUGAGCCCGUACAUAGAGCUUAAUGAGGAAUGCCAGGGCGGACGAAUUUGGAUGUGCCAGUGUCCUCUUCCUAUAGUGUUCCAUUCUUUUGCAAUCCCAGAGAAAAUGUUGCC